CGGCAAGCCUCCAGCGUGCCUGGGUCUGGGGUGGCCCCGUGCAUUCCUUUAGUGCUUGCAAGAACAUUGGGAAACGGUUUGAGGCCUUGCCCUGCUCCAUCCAGAGCAAGGUUAUAGACAUUUCGAACAGAU
rnacentral:snoRNA from 10 species